rnacentral:misc_RNA from 1 species
AAGUCAUAACAAGGUUUCUGUAGGUGAACCUGCAGAAGGAUCAUUAGUGAAUACACUGGGGAACCCACUCUGUGGGCCCCAACCCUUCACCAUAUCCUCACACCUGUGCACCGCUGGUAGAUGCCGCUGUACUUCGGUACGGUUUGCAGCUGCUGGCAACCUAUACACACACACCUGAGUUCUAUGAAUGUUAAUUUUACUUGCCUUCGGGCAGAACUAAAAUACAACUUUUGACAACGGAUCUCUUGGUUCUCC